GGGCCCGCACAAGCAGUGGAGUAUGUGGUUUAAUUCGAAGCAACGCGAAGAACCUUACCAGGGCUUGACAUAUGCAGGAAUAUACUAGAGAUAGUAUAGCUCUUCGGAGCUUGCAUACAGGUGGUGCAUGGUUGUCGUCAGCUCGUGUCGUGAGAUGUUGGGUUAAGUCCCGCAACGAGCGCAACCCCUAUUGUUAGUUGCCAGCAAGUAAUGUUGGGCACUCUAGCGAGACUGCCGGUGAUAAAUCGGAGGAAGGUGGGGACGACGUCAAAUCAUCAUGCCCUUUAUGUCCUGGGCUACACACGUACUACAAUGGCUGUUACAGAGGGAGGCAAUACAGUGAUGUAAAGCAGAAACCCCAAAAACAGUCCCAGUUCGGAUUGUAGGCUGAAAUUCGCCUACAUGAAGCCGGAAUUGCUAGUAAUUGCAGGUCAGCAUACUG
rnacentral:rRNA from 1 species